ensembl:lncRNA
GCAGACCUGCUCUUUGUCAUUAUCUCCAAGGAGGAAAUUCCCUCUGUGGGCUCUGGUAGCGGGAAUUAGUGGACAGCACCUCGUGAGAUGCUAAUGCAGAGCAGAUGUGUGGCUUCAUGGAGAGAGGUUCUUAUUCUAAAGGAGCCAAUGUCUCCACUUUGUCAUUGAGGUGAGCCCAUAAUGCACCAGCAUACAAACACGACUGCCACCUCACUGUUUACCACUAAUGCUAAUAAGGAACCUGUAAUAUAAUGCAAAAGGAGACUUGCCAUCAAUUGCUCCAAGGAGACAGAAAUACACUGCAGCAUUUAGGUCACUACUCUCAUUAACCCUAGAUCACAGUAAUAGUACUCUCUGAACAUAUCCAGUUGAAUCAUUUUUAUGGGCUUUUGUUUGUUUAUAUCACAGAUUUAUGUCUAAUAUUAGCCGUUAAGGUCAAGAUUUCAAUACCGUGCAGUACAGGCAAUAAUUACGUCCUCCUUCCUGACAUAUUGAAGAUUUAAGAUUGUGCAGGUAGCACUCAGCAGCCUCAUUUCCAUCUGUGUCAGUUGACUCAUGGUCUCCCUGAGUACCUGCCAGUGCACAUGAAUCCCCCUUAUAGGCCCAUCACUUGUGAUUUGUGUUACUACUACAGUACUUAAUAGAACACAUUAUUCCACCCGGUUUAAAAGAUGACAGAGAAACAACUGAAAUUCCCACAAGAAACGAUCUGUGUAUGUUGGGAGGUAUGCUAGUGUGAGUGUUACCUUGCACACCCAAGCCAUGACUGUGUGUGUGUGUGUGUUUGAGAGUCUGUGUGUGUAUGUUUUCAUGAGUGAACCUAGCCUCACAGCUGCCUAACUCUUUUAGGUAAAGUGAGAGCAUAAGCUCACGGGUUGUAUUGCUUUAGUCUUCCUUCUUUGGCAACUCCACACAGACAUCUGCAAACAUAUUAGCGAGUUAGUGAAAUUGCAUGUCAUCUAUGCCAAAUUGUGGGCUGCUCUCCCAGUUUGCGAGGAUUGUUUUUCAGCGCCCUGGCCUUGUAAGUUGUGGCUUUCUGUUUGUCUUGCAUGUGGUCUUGCAGAUUUUCACUGUUCUCACACACACACACACACACACACACUCACAGGCAGAGUAAAUGUUCCAUUGAGAUGACUCAGGCACUAUCUGACGUCCUGGUGUAACACCUUAGAAGACAGACAUUCAGAAGGGGGAAAAAGAGAAGUAUUUGACUAAUUUCUCAAUGCAUUGUAGAUAAUACUGCGGUAGCCUUUGCGUAUGCGAACACAGAUGGCAGUAAGCCCAGGAUUGGUACAGGUCACGAACACAAAAGAGCUCCAGCUACUCAGGAACUACAUGGGCUAAAACUAAUCGCAUUUGAUUAAAGGGAUCAUUUCCCCCUGUCUUUUUCCUCUUUUUUCUCUAUCGAAACAUCUCAUAUUGUAAGAGCACUGUGUUAAAGGGCAUGUUGGUGUGCAUCAACCACGUACAGUAGCUCUCAUCUUAGUUUGAAUUCCAACUAAUAUCAUCACUCAUGUUCUCAUUAGCAACGUGGGGCUGCCAUCCCGUGUCACUCUCACUGGAGUGGUCAAGCUCUUCCUGUAAAAAUCCUACUUCCUGCUCACCUGUUUCCUCCGACUGGCUAGCAACACAAUUGCCUGCUUCGAUGGGGCGCGUUGUGAUUUUUGGCACGGACUUUCACCAUUCAUACCGAGAGUUGUUGCCCUUCCCUCUAAAUUU